AAAAUUCUCAGCUUUGGGCAGAAAGUUUAAGCCAUUCAAAGUGAGUUCUAGCUCACUUUUUCAACUCUUUUCUUCUUGUUUCUUCUUCUAAAACAUUUGGGUAACCUUUAGGAAGGUUUUCACAAGUUUGCUAGGGCAAACUAAGAAAACUUGAUGGAAUCUUGUUCCCACCAAGCUCACAACUUAGUCAAUGGUUGUGGGUUGAUUAUUGAAGUAUGGAUGAAUGAUGAAACAAGUUAGGGUGGACUAGAUACAUACCUAGAUUAAUCUAUCCUUUUGUUUGUUAUGUUAUGUUAUGAAACAAUGUUGUUAUUUCUUUUGAAUUAUGUAUGACAUUUAGUUUUGAAAUGAAAUUUG
rnacentral:lncRNA from 1 species